rnacentral:rRNA from 1 species
GACGAACGCUGGCGGCGUGCUUAACACAUGCAAGUCGAACGGAAAGGCCCUGCUUUUGUGGGGUGCUCGAGUGGCGAACGGGUGAGUAACACGUGAGUAACCUGCCCUUGACUUUGGGAUAACUUCAGGAAACUGGGGCUAAUACCGGAUAGGAGCUCCUGCUGCAUGGUGGGGGUUGGAAAGUUUCGGCGGUUGGGGAUGGACUCGCGGCUUAUCAGCUUGUUGGUGGGGUAGUGGCUUACCAAGGCUUUGACGGGUAGCCGGCCUGAGAGGGUGACCGGCCACAUUGGGACUGGGAUGCGGCCCAGACUCCUACGGGAGGAAGCAGUGGAGAAUAUUGCACAAUGGGCGGAAGCCUGAUGCAGCAACGCCGCGUGCGGAAUGACGGCCUUGGGGUUGAAAACCGCUUGCGCCUGUGACGAAGCGUGUGAGACGGUAAUGGGUAAAAGAGCACCGGCAAACUGCG